UUAUUAUUGGUUCCUUAUCCUAAAACUUAUGAUAUUAGUUUUGAUUAAGGAAAUCAUUAAUUUACAGGUUUGAAUAUAUUGAACAAGAUUGCUGAGCUUGUGGCCUUGGUUGCAAUUUUGAAUUUCAGAGGUUAAUGGAAUGCAUUUUUGGAUUGUGUAUUUUGUAUAUUUUUUCUUGUUUUUUAUUCUUUUCCUUUGUAUAAUCUCUUCCUUUGUAUAUUCUGUAUAUUUUGUAUAUUCUUCUUGAGCUGCUGACGGGGAAGGUGGCAGUACCAGUUAAUAGUGGGCUCUACUUGGCUACAUGGGUUCAUUCGGUCGUUAGAAAAGAAUGGACUGUUGAAGUCUUUGAUUAGAGCCUGCUUGCUGAAGGUGCGAGCGAGGAGAGGAUGGUGAGCUUGCUCCAGGUUCUGAAUGGAACCCCCUUCUAUGAAAAUGGGUUCAAUGCCUAUUGGCUGAUGUAUAUGGGGUCAAGUCCAUCUCAGAGGAGAAAGGUCUCAGCUGCAUUCCAAGAAGCUUCUAGACAUGGACUUACAGUAGCAAGAACUUGGGCUUUUAGUGAUGGUGGAUAUGGAGCUUUAUAGCAUUCCCCAGGCUCAUAGAAUGAACAAAUGUUCAAGGACGAGAAUGAUACUAAUUACGAAGAAGAAGUGGCAGGUUGCUAAUGACUUUAACGGCGACUUUGAUGAAGAUGU